rnacentral:rRNA from 1 species
AUUUUUGGAGGAGGCAGUAGGGAAGAAUGUGCAACAAUGAAGUAGAGAAAGCAAUAGUGCUUGAAGUUGUAGGUCUUUGGGUUAGUAAAGUCUUCUAAUGAAGGAUGAUAGUGACGUCCAAGAAGACUC